rnacentral:rRNA from 1 species
GAUGAACGCUGGCGGCGUGCCUAAUACAUGCAAGUCGAGCGAAUGGAUUAAGAGCUUGCUCUUAUGAAGUUAGCGGCGGACGGGUGAGUAACACGUGGGUAACCUGCCCAUAAGACUGGGAUAACUCCGGGAAACCGGGGCUAAUACCGGAUAACAUUUUGAACCGCAUGGUUCGAAAUUGAAAGGCGGCUUCGGCUGUCACUUAUGGAUGGACCCGCGUCGCAUUAGCUAGUUGGUGAGGUAACGGCUCACCAAGGCAACGAUGCGUAGCCGACCUGAGAGGGUGAUCGGCCACACUGGAACUGAGACACGGCCCAGACUCCUACGGGAGGCAGCAGUAGGGAAGCUUCCGCAAUGGACGAAAGUCUGACGGAGCAACGCCGCGUGAGUGAUGAAGGCUUUCGGGUCGUAAAACUCCGUUGUUAGGGAAGAACAAGUGCUAGUUGAAUAAGCUGGCACCUUGACGGUACCUAACCAGAAAGCCACGGCUAACUACGUGCCAGCCGCCGCCGUAA